rnacentral:lncRNA from 1 species
CAGCAGCAGCCACAACUCCCUCCUUGGCCUUUGAAAGUCCUUUCAUGAAUACAUCCAUGGCUAAUGAAUUCCUUUACACCACACUGGAAAACAUAAAAUACACUUUGAAUGAGAACUUUCGGGGAAAAAUAAACAAAAAACACUGAAAAAUCAUGAGAAACCCUCCAAAGUGUGAGACUCUUUUAAGUGUACACUCAUUUAACCAUUGGACAAAGCAGACAUUUUUAGCUCUGGCAUUAAAAAUUUAGCAUCUCCCAUCCAUCUUGGCUAGUAAAAGUCUAGCCACCUAACCACGGAUUAGGAUGAAUCCUCUGAGUUGUUAUUACUGCAUUUCAGAAGUGGAGUUGCAUGAAAAGAUUAACCCCUUUUUUAAAUUCCCGGGGUCUAAAGGGUAACAGUAUGAGUUAGAAGCAUGGAAGCUGGAGGCUUAGGGUCAGGGGUAUCCUUAACAUGAAUCCCAGAAGAAGGCUAACAGGUUGAUGGUGGAAAGGCGUAGGCAACAGAACUAACUGCUCACUCGGGGUGUGGUUCAAACUCAGGCAAACAGCAGGCCCAAGUGUGAUGGUUCUAAUCCAUCCAACAUCCACCCCCGCCCUCAGCUAUCUACCCUGAGCAGGCGCCGCUCACACUCGCGGGCCGUCUCCAACCCCGCGCCAGCCACCCGAGGGGGCGUUCUCAGCCUCCACCCUAGCGGACCCCGCGCCAGCACUUGUUAACCCGUUACCACCUGUUGACUUGGCCUCCUUGCACUUCCAUUUCAUUAUUUGCCAAACGCAGCUUGCUUACUUUACAGAGAAAAACCAAGAGAGCGGGCAGACAGAUUUUAUGUGAGAGAAAAGUUGGAUGCUCACGCUCCAUGGAGCAUCCUCGCGUUUCCCGGGGAAAAGCGGAUCCCGGAGAAGCAGCCUAAUCUCUCAGCCCUUGUGGAGAAGGGAAUAUCAGAAGCAGGACGAAAGCCAGGUCAAGUCUCUUUCCUUAGGCUCCCCAAAGGGACAAGUACUCACCUCCCAGAGACCUGGCCCAGCGGGUCCUCAUGGCAGCACCACCCCCUCCCGGUGCCCACGACCAUUCGUCUCCCAUCCGGCGUUCUCCAGGAUUUCCAAAGACGCCCGUUUAGAUCCACAGAGCUGGAAGACAGCUGUUCCUGGAUCACACCAGAAUGGAGAAGCAAGCUCCUCCCACUAGCAGAAAGCCUUUGCUUUCUGUGCCUGGAUUCGGAAGAUUAGUUAAGCACUGGAAGAGGAGGGGGGAAACAACAACUCGUUUUUGCUGUAUGUUUUUUUUUUAAUUGUUUUUAUAUUUAUAGAAAGUUAUGCUUUGUCUGAUUCUUGCGCUAAUUUGGGUUCUGAAAUUUGAGUAAAAUCAAAUUUAAACAUACAAAACAACUUUAAAACCACAAGGAACAGGAAGCAAAUGAUUAUACAUAAAAGACAUAUAGAAGAUAAUGCAUAUGUGUUCAGUGGAAAAUAGAAAAGCAUGAAAGUAAGAUCACAAAUAUUUAUUAUUUAAACUCUUCCUUGAACUAUUGGUCUGCCCUUUGGAAAAGCAGACUUUCCUUAAUGCAGUAGCUCAUAUUAAUAUUUUUUGUUUGCUUAGGACCAGAGCAAGAAGGUUGGACUUGGGAGCUAGUUUGCUGUCUGGCUUUGAGACCUUGAACAAGUUUUGUUCUCCUUCUGUUUCCAGUUUUCUUUUUUGUAAAUUAGGAGAUUAACUCAUGUGAUCACUCUAUUUUCAACUUUUUGUUAUGGGAAAUAUUCAAACAUAUGCAAAAGUAGACAGAAUAAAGGACUCUCAUGUGAAGAUCAUCCAACUUUUACAUUUUUUCAAUGCAUGGCUGAUCAUGUCUCAUCCAUAAGUCCACUCACUUUAUCACUACCAAUCCUCCCUCUUUUUUUUUUUUUUUUACCAAAUUCAAGCUUUAUAUAUAUCUUUUCAGCUGUAAACAUUCAGUAUGCAUCCACAAAAUUUAAGGACUGUUUAAAAAUAACCACAAUAUCAUUAGAUGAUUCUUUAAAAUUGCAGUGUAAUUUACACCUAGGGAAAUGCUCAGAUGUUGUGUCCCUUUAAAUCAGUUUUGAAAAAGCCAUGCAUUAGUGUAACCCACACUAUUUUGAAGACACAGGACAUUUUCAUCAUUCCAGACAGUUACCUUGUACCUUCAUGUGCAUAUUCUAGAAUGUCAUAAAGAUCUAAUCACGUAGUAUAAACUUUGUUUUAUAUUUGUCUGACUUCUUUUACUCAGUAUAAUAUUUGUGAGGUUCGUUCAUGUCGUUGCAUGAAUGGGUGUUUUGUUUUUUAUUGCUUUUUGUUGUUUCUUUUUACUACUGUUAAUAGUAUAAGUUUUCCAUUGUGCCUCUUUACAACUAGUAUCUCAAUAGAGUAUUACAACAAUUAUUUAAUAUAUUAUUUCACAUGACAUAUUUAUAGUAUAACCAUGACCUCCUUGAGACCUAGUGCUUUAAGUCAAAGAGGUAAAUAAAAUGAGAUAUUUUAGGUCUCAUUACAACAGACCAAUGUGAGAGAAUUAUUUCUGGACAGUUGCACUUCUUAUAAACGUUUAACAUGAUUCCAAACUUUUAUUUGGUAAUUUGUUAGUCCUUUGGCAAAGGACUAAUGUACUAUGUUAUUUAGUCAUAACAAGCAGAUCAAUUACAUUUUAUGUAACUUUUAUAGACAGAGAAACUGAGCUCCAAGAGUUUUGGUGAUAUGCUGAGAUCACCUAGCUAUUUUAAGUGGCAGAGCUGAGACAAUUUAGCAGAAACUGUUACAGAAGGCACAAUUGUCUCCUGAAUUAGCAGUUUGUGUCUGAAGCCUCACAGAUUGGGUGUGGUAAAGAGUGAGAAGGAAAAAGGUAGAACCCAGCUGUGUUAGAAAUAGCCUUCAAAUUUGGAUGUGACAAUGGAAAUCAAGAAGAACUUAUGUUAUUAUGAAACAGUUCAUUCAUAUUUAAAGUUUUGCCUUUUCUAUAUUGGUAUUCCUCAAUAGGGGGAGAUGAUUUCUUACUACCUACAAAAAAAGAAAACUGUAAACUAAUUUCGUUGUCAUUUUGAAUUACAACUAUAUGUUUAACUCUUGUCACUCCUUAAAAUGCCUUGAACACAGUAAACAUCCAAUGAACUUUUAAUUACACAUAAUAUUGAUAGUGAUAUUGCAUAUGUUCUAGGUCUGUAUUCUUAAGGAGGGAAAGCUGCUCAAGUACAAAGAAGGGAACUAGAAGUUAAAAUAAAGUUUUUUUAAUUUUUCUUUUCAUUAUUGAUGGACAGCAUGGUCUUCAGUAAAUCUUUAGCCUCUCUGAAUAUAACGUUAAACUAAUUGAAUGGCUUGUACCUCAUAAGAAAUAUGAAGUUAUGAAGUAAUAACAUAUUUGGAAGCAUUACUAACAUGCAUAUUCUGUUCAUAACUACAAUAUUCAUGUUUUGUUUUCUCUUUGCUAAGUGAAAUAUAAAUAUUUUACCAGACC